CAGCCGCCGCGGUAAUACGUAGGUGGCAAGCGUUGUCCGGAAUUAUUGGGCGUAAAGGGCUCGCAGGCGGUUUCUUAAGUCUGAUGUGAAAGCCCACGGCUCAACCGGGGAGGGUCAUUGGAAACUGGGAAACUUGAGUGCAGAAGAGGAGAGUGGAAUUCCACGUGUAGCGGUGAAAUGCGUAGAGAUGUGGAGGAACACCAGUGGCGAAGGCGACUCUCUGGUCUGUAACUGACGCUGAGGAGCGAAAGCGUGGGGAGCGAACAGGAUUAGAUACCCGUGUAGUCCCUGUCUCUUAUAC
rnacentral:rRNA from 1 species